rfam:Triticum urartu cultivar G1812 contig915670, whole genome shotgun sequence.
UUAAUACUCCCUCCGUCCCAAAAUUCUUGUCUUAAAUUUGUCUAAAUACGGAUGUAUCUAGUUACAUUUUAGUGUUAGAUACAUCCGUAUCUAGACAAAUCUAAGACAAGAAUUUUGGGACGGAGGGAGUAUGUU